UCUGGACUUGCUUAGCAGGAUAGUAUCAAUUGGCUUAGAACCAAAUUACUAGCUUCAUUCCUGAAACCUGGUUGGCAUACUAGAUGGACAUCACAGAACUGGGUGGGAAGCAGUAUAUUCUUAAAAAAAAAAAAAAAAAAAAAAAAGGCAGCUGUUGGAAAAUGGGAAAAGGCUUCAAGAGAGUCAACCAACUAUUGCCCACUGAUUGCAUUGGUUAUAUAGGCUGCUGAGAAAUUAUGAGAGAAUAAAGUAAUCUGGCAAGGGGGAGGUAAAAGAAGGGAAUUCAAAAAUAUUAAGUACUUCUAAUGUUUAAGAGUCAAUGCCAAGAGACUAUAAGGUUAUGGGGGAAAUCCUGCAAAACAUUUUGAUUUCUGUUUUCAGUAAUCAUGCACUCUCUGAUACAAAAUAAAUGAGUAAUGGGUUUAAAGAGAAAGGUGAUGAGGUCAGUUUUAAAUGCCUGGAGUAUCAGGUAUAUCUACUCAUAUAUUCAAGAUUUCUGGGAGGAGAUGGGAAAUGGGUAUACUACUGAGAUCAGUGAAAGUUUCUACAGGAUAUAUACAAUGCAACUAUGAAAAUGACCUGCCUUAGAAUACUAUGAAGAGUAUAUAAAGAAAAAAGACCUGCAGAUAGAGCACUGGUGACUAUCAAGAACUGAACAAGGAACAAAAGAGGACAUUAAAACUAUUUUAGGAGAGAAUGGAGACAUCAAAGCCAAGAGAGGGUAUGUUCUCAUAACAGCAAUGGCUAAUGCAAUUGAAAAAGUCAAAGAAGUUCAAGAAAGGAGUCCUGGAGUUCCCGUCGUGGCGCAGUGGUUAACGAAUCCGACUAGGAACCAUGAGGUUGCAGGUUCGAUCCCUGCCCUUGCUCAGUGGGUUAACGAUCNNNNNNNNNNNNNNNNNNNNNNNNNNNNNNNNNNNNNNNNNNNNNNNNNNNNNNNNNNNNNNNNNNNNNAAAAAAAAAAAAAAAAAAAAAAAAAAAAAAAAAAGAAAGGAGUCCUUUGGGCAAUAGCGUUGAUAAUACCAAUUGCAGGGGAGUGUUUUGUAGGAAAUCAUGCAACAAUGGGACUAAGGAAAGAAGGACAGGAAAGAAGUGGAAGACAUGUAAGAAAAAAAAAAAAAAAAACCUGUUGUUACAAAGCUUAACUGUAAAUGAAAACAGAGAAGUGGGUUUGACUGAUAAUGACAUUUUGACACUGAAAAAUUUAGAAGACUGGAGAGGUAACGAGCAGGAGGAAGAAGAGAGACAUGAGCAGGAACACAAAUGCACUUACAAACAGGAGACAACAAACAACUAUGUCCGAGUAGAAAGGGAAGAAUCAGAGUCUGGAAUUCUCAGAAGACUGAGUCAAGGCUUGCAGUAUCUGUGAUGCCAACAACUGUGUUUCUGCAGUAUUUUCCCAGUCUUGUAAUAUUGGCCAAAAUGAAAGAAGGAUUCAGUACAAAGAGGAUGGCCUUUCUGCAGGAUGCUUCUACUAAGGACAGCAUGGCAAGGCCUUCCAUGAACCAGAUUACUAUGAAUCCUGGAAUUCUGGAAAGUAACCAGCCAUGAAGCCAACAAUGAUUUAAGACCAAGAUAUAGUAGGAAGGAGCAACCAAGAUUUGAAGGCAGUACAGAUCGGUGGACAUCGAAGUGGAUGUGAGACUACCCUCUUUAGAAUUUUGUUUUCAAAAUAUACAGAAAAGAUGUCACUUAGGAUACAAUUCUUGAAUAUUUUAUUAUAAGAGGCUAUUUUGAAAAUAUCUAUAGCCACUAACUCAUAAAAAAGAGUCAUUUUUAACUUAUUUCCAGAUUGCCUUCCAUAGAUCCUUGAAGAAGAGGUUCCAAAUUUAUUUUGAUCUUUUGAUUGCUUAAAGACAUUCACCAAGAAACUUUUGGAGCUUUCAACCUUUCUACAGAAACAUUCAUUUGAACGAGAGAGAAUAUUUUGCAAAUUGACUCCCAGGCUGAUUUCUUACCAUCAUUCAAAAUGGAUUUGGGCCAGCUCCUUCAGCCAUCAGUUAUGUGAUACAAGUUGAUUUUAAUAAUGCAUUCUAAAUACAAAUAGAAAUGACUAUUGUCUAUGUUUUGAACUAUCUGUUCAACAUUGUUUAGCUAGAUAAGUGAAAAUUUAUCCCAUUUCUAAUUUCUGUUAUUUAGUAAUUAGAUCACUUUGCCUUUUUGGUUCCAGUUAGAUAGUAAUUAAUAAAAAGACUACUCUUUUUCUUGGAAGGAAAAUA
rnacentral:lncRNA from 1 species